rnacentral:rRNA from 1 species
UACAGAGGUCCCAAGCGUUGUUCGGAUUCACUGGGCGUAAAGGGUGCGUAGGCGGUCGGGUAAGUCUGUCGUGAAAUCUCCGAGCCCAACUCGGAAACUGCGUCGGAUACUAUUCGGCUAGAGGAAUGGAGGGGAGACUGGAAUUUACGGUGUAGCGGUGAAAUGCGUAGAUAUCGUAAGGAAGACCAGUGGCGAAGGCGGGUCUCUGGACAGUUCCUGACGCUGAGGCACGAAGGUCAGGGGAGCAAACGGG